GGCCGGGCCCGAGUGCGCGCGCAUUAUUCCCUCUCGGCGCCGGGAGCGCGGCGCGGGACGCUCGGAGUUUGAAGCGCCGCGCGGCCCCCUGCCUACUCCGGGGAGUUGUGACACGUCACUCAAGGCAUCAGAACGGAAUUGUAAUAACCGCGUUACUGGACGACCGGUUUUACCAAUUCACGCUGCCGUUCGGCCGCCGGCGUCCUGAUGGAGCGCGCGUCUUGCAGCGGAAAACUCCUUCCUGACGGUCUUGGCGCUUGGGUGACGACUGGGCGGUUUAUCUUCACCUCUCUGGGGUACUUUUACAGACAGCGCCUUGCUCCUUGCUAUAAGCCGAUUUAAAACAACAACAACAACACCUCAAAAACACAGAAAAGUUUUCCUCCUCAAGAUGCUUCCGUAAGCGAGGGACAAGAAAUGGUGCAAGCGCACCGAUCUCUGCCUGGCAGGACCCAAAUCGCGCUUCCCUCCAGGCCCCGCGUCUGGGAGUUUGCGAUCAUUCCAGCCAACGCCGUAACCAAAACACCUUAUAUUUAUGAAGCACCUCGUAGUACUUUAAAACACCGCUAAAUACAUGGCUUCGUUUGAACACCAAACCACCCUUUGAAGUAGCCGCGACGGGUAUUACGGCUGUGGCCGGUUUACAGCUGAGACGUGGGCUAAGAAAUACUCAGUCGUUUGCCCCGGGGCACACGCGCAGCAUGAGGGAGUCGUCGUGGCAAGCCCAGACUAGAGCUCCAGACAGCCUGACCCUGGUCGCCAGGCGCAUCACCCCUCACAGUUCUCAGGGAGGUCUUAGAGAUACCUGAUGUAUUUGUUUAUUUAAAAUCCUUUUUAAAAUAUUUGCGUUUUUAAUCUCUACCCAUCCUCUGAGAAACAAGUUUUCCAAGUAACAUUGAGUCUGUUGUUCUCAAACCACCUCUAAGCUGCAAAGAAUAAGAGCAAUUUCGAAUUUUGUGAUGUGUUUAAUCAUCUCUUGGUCCUUUAUUAUUUUAUCCAUUUCAUGUGUGUUUGGAGAAUUUAAGUUUUUUUUUUUUAAGAUUUUAUUUAUCCAUUCAUGAGAGACACACAGAGGGAGAGAGAGAGAGAGGCAGAGACACAGGCAGAGGGAGAAGCAGGCUCCAUGCAGAAACGUCAUUGCUUACAGCAAUAACCUGGUGCUACUGCAUGAACUACAUGGGACCAAAACUGGACUUCAGGCAGAAGGUUAUAGGUGGUUGGAGCUGGAAGUCCACCCAACUGAGCAUGAGUUGGCAGGGACAACUUGAGGUUGGUCACAGGGACUGCAAUCUUCUGGUGGUCAUGAUUCUGGGCCAUGACUUCUAUCACAUCACACUUAUCUUUGGCCCCUUCCGUGAGGCAAAGCAUGGUCAAAGCCAGCACAUGCCCCGUGUUACCCUCUUCAUCACCAAAGAAACAAUGGAGCGGGGACCUGCAGACCCUUGACAUACGUGGCCUGGCUGGGUUGUCCUGACUUAAGAAUGCUAAGGGGGGGGGGGGGCAUAUUGCAAGGUAUUUUCUAUCAGUUUAUCUUUGUCUUAAUCAGCUAAAUAGUGCACUAACUGAAAGAGUUUUUACAUGCAAACUAAAAAUUCCAUUGUCCAUACCCUUCUUGAUAAUUCAUUAAAAUGUUAAAUAAGA